CAAAGACCAGUGGCUAUUACUAUCACCGCAAAAGGGAAAAUGUCAAUUAAAUACACCAUGGACCAAUAUACUCUACAAUGAGAUUGUAAAAUAACAUCCAGCUUGUGUCCUGAAGUUCACGUAUCACCACAUACGUGUACCAGGUAGCAGAAAACAAAGGGCCCCAUACUUGUCUGUCCGUGCAAUAUGCAAGUUUUCAACUUGCAAGGCCAGCUUUUUGAUCCAAAUGGCCGAACGACCAACAACACAACAGAAAUACAUUAAACUCUCUGUACAUCACUCUGGACUUGUCCGUCACCUUAAAAGUGAAACCAGGUGUAGACCAGCAAGCAAUGUUAAACAAGGCCACAUAGCAAAAACUGUGAGAAAAGGCAAUAGCAGGGUGUAUUAUAGUCGGUUGUCGUCCACUCCACUGCCUGAAGUAAUUGCUGGCAAAGUAUCCCGCAGCUUAAGCAAGAACAUUCUCAAGGUAAUUUCAUCAGAACUAAAAAAAAGCAAGCAGCUUCACGACAAUGUUGUUCUUGAACUUACACUCACGCAGGAUAUCAUCAGAGAAUGUGACAGCAAUCGUGUCAACAUGCCAGGCUACAUUCAAGUCCUGUAGAUAAACCCAUUUGCUGUAUACUUGUACACAGAGGUUGGUGUAAGCAUUUUGGUCAACCACCUAAGGGGGGAAAAAAAGGUGGCCUUGUACCUCGAUGCUACAGGAGGUGUUGUCAGAAAGAUGCCUGGUGACGACAAAAGGGUUUUUUACUAUGCCCUUACCCUGCCUGGAGCGGGCAGAGAUGCUCCCCCUCUCUCUGUCUGUGAGCUCCUUUCCAAUAACCAUUCAGUUCCACCUCUAGCAUAUUGGCUACUUCAGUUUCUGCAUACAUUGGCCAAAUAUACAACGCAUCGUGUCAAUCAAAUUGAAAAGGACUUUAGUUGGGCACUAAUGCAGGCCACACUACUGGCGUUCAACAGAGAGAGUGUGGAUGCAUAUCUGGCAAGAACGUUCAGCAUAAUUAACAGACAAAAAAGGUGGGAUGAAAUCAAAUCCACCACAAUACUCUGCUCAGCACACAUCAUUAAAGCAGUGAGCAACACUGUCAGCCACAGGACGGAUGACCCAGGUCUCAGGGAAUUUGUUACUUUCGUGUUUGCACGAAUUCAAAACACAGUGUCUCUGCAGUCAGGCCAGGACAUUUUCUAACAUCUCUGUACUGUCUUGCUGGCAGAACAUGUGCAUCCAAAAGUCCAUCAAAGCCUAGACUUUCUGCAACAAUUGAUAGCCAAGGGCAACAACCCAACACUUGAAAAUGGGGACAUAGACAGCGAGUCACAGAGUGGAUGGGAGGAGGAAGAGCAGAAGCGGGCGCAGACGAUUGUGGGUAGGUCCCCAUAUACAAAAUGCUUCCAAGAAGUAUUUCAGGAAGCACAGGCAGCAAUAGGAGAGGCAGAGGAGGAUAAGGAUGGACAUCAGCCAAACCGCUACCACUGUCCCGAGAUCAUAAAGGUGCUUUUGGGUAAUUAUAUGGGGAUCUUCCCACUGUGGAGCGGUGCUAUGCUUGGGGACCUGAGGCGCUAUGCCCGAGACAAGACCCUUGAUCGUGAUACAUCUAAAGUACAGUCCAGAGACACUAACUGCCAUGUCGAAACGUGGUUUGGCAUUGUCAAACACUCCAUCAUUACCAAAAAAAAAAAAACCUUAGGCCUGCAGAAUUUAUUCGAAGUAUGUACUCCUCUCUAAAGGGGAGGUACAUCGAACACAUUGUCAGGCAUAAUCUCCCAGAAGAAAUACUGUUAAAAACAACCCAAACCAAAAAAAAUGUGACACAGGCUGAAGCGACCUGGAUGAAAUGUGGAAAAUCCAUUGUUCAAGUAAAGAAAUCCAAAUUUUACAAUAACCCUCAAACAAUUCCAGAACCCAAAAAAGGCAGGUAAAAAAAGGACACAGACAGCAAACAAGAACCAGCUACCUCAGUCAAAGCUGAUAAAAGCAAUCCAUCAAAACCAAAACCAGAACCAAUCAAAAAGGCUGGUAAAAAAAAAGGACACAGACAGCAAACAAGAACCAGCUACCUCAGUCAAAGCUGAUAAAAGCAGAGUCCAAAUUCCUGCUACACCAAAUCACCUAAAAGUCAAAGUAGACCAGGGGAAAGAAUCAAGUACACUGGUAUGAUAAGAUAUCACAAAGUAUUAUUACAAUACUGUUUUUCAACCUUUUUUUUGUCAUUUAAUACAAUUUCUUUUACAGACAAAAACACUGUGGGAAAAAGGUCAGACUGAACUGGUGGUGUCAGUGAUAAAGUCGCAGGACCAGUGUUUUACUCUGCGGCAUUCUGAGUUUAUGACGUUACGCCCACAAGAACUGAUCUGUGGUGAGGUUAUCGAAGCCUAUAUACGAGCUACCCUUAACCAGUUCGACCCUGCUCAUCAAAUCUUCCAAUUAGACCAUUACACAAAUGGUGUAAUUCUCGGAGGUUCAAGGGAGCAAAUAAGUCGACACCUGAUGUGAAAAGUGAAACUGGAUACCUUUGACGCUGCUCUGUCAUUUGUUAAUGUAAACAACAACCACUGGCGGUUCGUG